UCCUCUUUCCCCAAUGUACCUUCUGUGCUUCCCAAUCUCUCACAAAUUCAGAGGACAGUCAGGCCCUUCAGAGAGGCAAAACUGCCAUUACCCAGGAGCCUUUUAUCUAAUUAGCCCUGCGGGGCUUGUCCAGUCUGUUCCCUUUGUCCAGGAAGGGACAGCUGUGCCCAGGACAGGUGGCUAUUCCAGCUGGAGCUUCCCUCAGUUUCCACCACUACACUCACACUUCUCCUCCUGUAGUGUCAGAAUGGGUCAUUUUUUUUGUGCACACAGCCGUCAAUGCAGGGAUUCACUGCCCGAAGCUCCGAAGAACCAGGAGUUAAAGCAGCGUCCAUAAAUACAAGGAUUCUCCCGCCCAAUUAUCCAAUCUUUCUGCUGUAAUAGUUAGACACGGGUUCAUCUUUUACUUAACUACUGCCAGAAGCUCCUGCAAAGCAGCCCAGGUUGAGAUGGGUUUGAAUGUUUGCUUUGACUCACAUCUCCCAAGGCUGAGCAAAGGCAGCUGCAGUGAAGGGCCUUCAGUGUGAGCGUGGAGGAAGCUCUUCCUCCUCAAAAAUCCCUGCAUGGCAUUUAUGUGGAAUCUCACACAACCAGGUCCUGGCUCAGCACUGCCAUUCCCAGGCACUUGUAGUUGUGCAAUCAGGCUAAGGAGACAUCCAAGCAUCAGCUAAAAAACCAAGUGUGAUUUAGAAAACUACUCAAAGUUACGAGUUUUGAGAACUGAAAAGGAGUAAUGACAGUGAAUACUAAAAAAACGUGAUUACUCAGCAUGGAAUUCUCCCAGCUGUGCUUUUCACAAGCUCUUCAAGCAGAAUUUACUCUCCAGCACAAAAUUGAAGAGCCAGUUAACUUCACUUUCUCAUGUUUAAAGGAAAUAGCAUGAAAACACUCAGUUAUGCUCACAAAAUGAUGCCACGUAAUCCAAGGAUUGGCUGGUUCCAGAAAUUAGCAGAGUCACUGCACAGAUGCUUUAUGGCCAUGGAGAGGCUCCCACUGACAG